rnacentral:lncRNA from 1 species
AACUGAUAUUUUAUUGAAAUGGUUAAUACCUGUAGCAAUGUCUAUGUACUAGUUAAAUGGACGUUCUUCCGUUGAAACUCAACCUAGCCUAGGAUAGCCGCUAGGCCUAUUCUGUUGCCAUUUGGAAAAAAAAGAAGAGUCCGCAACAUGCCAAGGUCUCUAGGCCUAUGCACAGUCAGUAUUGUGAUUGACAUUGGCAAUGGUUUACUUAUAGAAAAGGACCAGCUCAUAGCCAUCACUCAGAUAAGCGAUGGGGCACGAGGCAAAUUCAAAAUUUGUUUGUUAUUGUUUCCGAUGCAUGAAGUGGUAGGGAAAUACAAGAUAGGGAAGAAAAGCAAGGCACAUGUGGAACAUCGGUAGAGAAAGAGCGUUUGGAUCCCAUCUGAAUUACUGCCAUAACAGAUUUCCUGAGGCUUCAACUACUCUUUUGAGGCAGUCUCUGCAAAACAGAAUAAAGAAAAUGAACAAGCCUAUAAAUUGGGAAUACCAUGUAUGCAUUUUUGUUUUUAAAUUUGUUAUUUAACUUUAAUUCCAAACUUCGUUUAUAUUAGAUUUGUGUAGUAUUUUAUUAUAUUUGAUGUUUCAGUGUGUAGGCCAUCUUAAAGUUAGGUUCAGAAAAGUUGUUUUUUUUUUCAAUUUUUUUUUUAUGUUGAACUGAUUUUUUUAAAACCCAAAAAUAAUAUUUGAUGAAAAACUUUGAAGCGGUUAAUGAGAUUCAGAUUUUUUAAUAUUUAAAAACUGGGGGAAAAAGAGACAUAACCACCCUUUUUCCUUCCUUAGUUUUCCCCAGUUUUUAAAUAUUCAAAAAUCUGUAUCUCUCUCAUUAACUGUUUCCAAGUUUUUUGCCAAAUAUACUUUGAGGCUUAGAAAGAUUAGUUCUACAACAUAUCAACACAUUUAUGUCCGCCAGAGCUUGGCUUUAUUAAAUAGAAAUGCUACUUCCACAUCAAUAAUUAUAUCUACCCUUGUCAUAUUUUCUUUAAAAAUAACAUUCGUUUAAAUAUUUUUGUCUUGCCAUAUUAUUGAAUAUACAACAUAAAAUCAAUAAUUUCUUAUUUAUGUGAGUAGCAAUUAUUUCAGUACUGUAUUUUAUUUUGUAGCUCUAGUACAGUAGGUUUAGUACCUGAGUAUAUUUUUUCUUUAAGGGGCCAAUCACAAUUGAAAACAUAGUGUAUUAAAAGAGUACUCUUUUUUGGCACCUCAACCCCUUUAAAAAGUGUACAUACAUGGAAAAUGUUGAUUUUGCAAUACUGUUCUCUAUGGCCUUUUUUUUUUCAAUGGGUACAUACAGUAGAUACAUAAUUAGGUUUAAAUAUAUCCAUAUUGGCAUGUUAAUAAAUUUAGAAAACCGAUUUCAAUCAAUAUUUUAAGCUUUUGUAAAUUCUUUUCAUUUAAUUUUGUAUUUAGUAUUAGGCCUUUUCCCCCUUAGCAUAUUGUUUAUACAUUUGUUGAUAAUUAUGAACCGUCCAUACAGUGCAGAGUUAUCCACCUUAUGUUUUGAAAUUUCUUUUUUGGGUCUUUCACAUCUACUAAAUGUGUGUAAAGUUAAAUCUAAUACUGUACUGUAAUAGUAUAUAAAAAUAUGUAAAACUUUUUCUUUCAUCUACAGUACCCCUAUCAAUAUCGCUUACAGUACUUUGAUGUUAUUUAAUAUAUUUAUAAUAUUUUAUAUAGGCCUGCAAUUUACUGUAAAUACAGCUAUGAUAUAAAAUUAUUUUUAUAAAUCUUUAUAUGUUUGCACAAUACCACUAGUGCUACAUCGUAAAAUU